rnacentral:rRNA from 1 species
AGAGUUUGAUCAUGGCUCAGGAUGAACGCUAGCUACAGGCUUAACACAUGCAAGUCGAGGGGAAACGACAUCGAAAGCUUGCUUUUGAUGGGCGUCGACCGGCGCACGGGUGAGUAACGCGUAUCCAACCUGCCCACCACUUGGGGAUAACCUUGCGAAGUAAGACUAAUACCCAAUGACGUCUCUAGAAGACAUCUGAAAGGGAUUAAAGAUUUAUACGGUGAUGGAUGGGGAUGCGUCUGAUUAGCUUGGUUGGCGGGGUAACGGCCCACCAAGGCUACGAUCAGUAGGGGUUCUGAGAGGAAGGUCCCCCACAUUGGAACUGAGACACGGUCCAAACUCCUACGGGAGGCA